AUUGAACGCUGGCGGCAGGCCUAACACAUGCAAGUCGAGCGGAUGAAGGGAGCUUGCUCCUGGAUUCAGCGGCGGACGGGUGUGUAAUGCCUAGGAAUCUGCCUGGUAGUGGGGGAUAACGUCCGGAAACGGGCGCUAAUACCGCAUACGUCCUGAGGGAGAAAGUGGGGGAUCUUCGGACCUCACGCUCUCAGAUGAGCCUAGGUCGGAUUAGCUAGUUGGUGGGGUAAAGGCCUACCAAGGCGACGAUCCGUAACUGGUCUGAGAGGAUGAUCAGUCACACUGGAACUUAGACACGGACCAGACUCCUACGGGAGGCAGCAGUGGGGAAUAUUGGGCAAUGGGCGAAAGCCUGAUCCAGCCAUGCCGCGUGUGUGAAGAAGGUCUUCGGAUUGUAAAGCACUUUAAGUUGGGAGGAAGGGCAGUAAGUUAAUACCUUGCUGUUUUGACGUUACCAACAGAAUAAGCACCGGCUAACUUCGUG
rnacentral:rRNA from 1 species